rnacentral:rRNA from 1 species
GUGUCAGCAGCCGCGGUAAUACGUAGGGUGCAAGCGUUGUCCGGAAUUAUUGGGCGUAAAGAGCUCGUAGGUGGUCUGUCGCGUCUGGUGUGAAAACUCGGGGCUUAACCCCGGGCCUGCAUCGGGUACGGGCAGACUAGAGUGUGGUAGGGGAGACUGGAAUUCCUGGUGUAGCGGUGAAAUGCGCAGAUAUCAGGAGGAACACCGGUGGCGAAGGCGGGUCUCUGGGCCAUAACUGACACUGAGGAGCGAAAGCAUGGGGAGCGAACAGGAUUAGAUACCCUCGUAGUCC